rnacentral:rRNA from 1 species
AGGUAACACUGAAUGGAGGACCGAACCGACUUACGUUGAAAAGUGAGCGGAUGAACUGUGGGUAGCGGAGAAAUUCCAAUCGAACUUGGAGAUAGCUGGUUCUCUCCGAAAUAGCUUUAGGGCUAGCCUCAAGUGAUGAUUAUUGGAGGUAGAGCACUGUUUGGACGAGGGGCCCCUCUCGGGUUACCGAAUUCAGACAAACUCCGAAUGCCAAUUAAUUUAACUUGGGAGUCAGAACAUGGGUGAUAAGGUCCGUGUUCGAAAGGGAAACAGCCCAGACCACCAGCUAAGGUCCCAAAAUAUAUGUUAAGUGGAAAAGGAUGUGGCGUUGCCCAGACAACUAGGAUGUUGGCUUAGAAGCAGCCAUCAUUUAAAGAGUGCGUAAUAGCUCACUAGUCGAGUGACACUGCGCCGAAAAUGUACCGGGGCUAAACAUAUUACCGAAGCUGUGGAUUGUCCGUAGGACAAUGGUAGGAGAGCGUUCUAAGGGCGUUGAAGCAUGAUCGCAAGGACAUGUGGAGCGCUUAGAAGUGAGAAUGCCGGUGUGAGUAGCGAAAGACGGGUGAGAAUCCCGUCCACCGAUUGACUAAGGUUUCCAGAGGAAGGCUCGUCCGCUCUGGGUUAGUCGGGUCCUAAGCUGAGGCCGACAGGCGUAGGCGAUGGAUAACAGGUUGAUAUUCCUGUACCACCUAGCAUCGUUUUAAUCGAUGGGGGGACGCAGUAGGAUAGGCGAAGCGUACGAUUGGAUUGUACGUCUAAGCAGUGAGAUUGAGUGUUAGGCAAAUCCGGCACUCUUAAGAUUGAGCUGUGAUGGGGAGAGGAAAUUGUUUCCUCGAGUCGUUGAUUUCACACUGCCGAGAAAAGCCUCUAGAUAGAUAAUAGGUGCCCGUACCGCAAACCGACACAGGUAGUCAAGAUGAGAAUUCUAAGGUGAGCGAGCGAACUCUCGUUAAGGAACUCGGCAAAAUGACCCCGUAACUUCGGGAGAAGGGGUGCUCUUUAGGGUGCAAGCCCAGAAGAGCCGCAGUGAAUAGGCCCAAGCGACUGUUUAUCAAAAACACAGGUCUCUGCUAAACCGUAAGGUGAUGUAUAGGGGCUGACGCCUGCCCGGUGCUGGAAGGUUAAGAGGAGUGGUUAGCUUCUGCGAAGCUACGAAUCGAAGCCCCAGUAAACGGCGGCCGUAACUAUAACGGUCCUAAGGUAGCGAAAUUCCUUGUCGGGUAAGUUCCGACCCGCACGAAAGGCGUAACGAUUUGGGCACUGUCUCAACGAGAGACUCGGUGAAAUCAUAGUACCUGUGAAGAUGCAGGUUACCCGCGACAGGACGGAAAGACCCCGUGGAGCUUUACUGUAGCCUGAUAUUGAAAUUCGGCACAGCUUGUACAGGAUAGGUAGGAGCCUUUGAAACGUGAGCGCUAGCUUACGUGGAGGCGCUGGUGGGAUACUACCCUAGCUGUGUUGGCUUUCUAACCCGCACCACUUAUCGUGGUGGGAGACAGUGUCAGGCGGGCAGUUUGACUGGGGCGGUCGCCUCCUAAAAGGUAACGG